GCAGGUGACAAUCCCGUGUGCCACCCGCCAUGUCCCCUGUGAGUGUGGGGAGGUGACACCUGUGACACCCCCGUGUGUCCCCAAUGGGUGUGCUGUGGGGAGGUGACACCUGUGACCCUAAAGGAUGUGGGGGGGAGGUGACACCUGUGUCCCCAAAGGGUGUGGCGGGUCAGGGGGAGGUGACACCUUUGGCCCGUGCCACUCCCAUGUGACACCGCUGUCCCUCCUGUGUCCCCAGCCUGGUGUACGGGGGCUCACGGGGGUCACACCCCGACCCCGACCUGCUGCACCGGCAGCCCUACGGAGCCCCCCACCCGCUGCAGGGCUAUGCGGCCAACCACCACCCGCCAGGUACGGCUGUCACCUGUGUGUCACCUGUGUGUCACCCUCCUGUCACCCCCCCCGUCACCCCGACCCACCCUAACCCCAGCUCCCUGUGUCACCUUGUCACUCUGCCGCCUGUGUCACCCCGGGACGCUCGGUCCCCUCACGUUUUCCCGCUCUUUCUCUCCCCUCACGUUUUCCCGCUCUUUUCUCUCCCCUCACGUUUUCCCACUCUUUUUCUCCCCUCACGUUUUCUGUUCUUUUCCCAUCAUGUUUUCCACCCUUUUCCCUUCACAUUUCCCACCCUUUUCUCCCCUCACGUUUUCCCGCUCUUUUCCUCUCCUAUUUUCUACCCUUUUUCCCUCACAUUUCCACCCUUUUCCCCUCACGUUUCCUGCCCUUUUCCCUUCACAUUUUCCACCCUUUUUUCCCCUCACAUUUCUCACCCUUUUUUCCCCUCACAUUUUCUGCUCUUUUCACCUCACAUUUCCGUCCCUUCCCCUUCACAUUUCCCGCUUUUUUCUCCUCUUACAAUUCCCAUCUUGUUUUUCCUCACCUUUUCCUCCUUUCUCCCCUCAUGUUUUCCAGCUCUUUUCUCCCCUCACAUUUUCCUUUUCCCUUACAUUUUCUACCCUUUCACCUCACAUUCCCACCCUUUUCCUUUCGUGUUUCCCGCUCUUUUCUCCCCUCGUGAUUCCUGUCCUGUUUCUCCUCACCUUUUCCGCCUUUUUCCCCUCAUGUUUCAUGCUCUUUUCUCCUCGCAUUUCCACCCUUUUCCCUUCACAUUUUCCACCCUUUUCCCCUCACAUUUCCCACUCUUUUCCCUUCACAUUUCCCGCUCUUUUUUCCCCUCACGUUUUCCCGCUCUUUUCCUCUUGUAUUUUCUACCCUUUUUCCCUCACAUUUCCACCCUUUUCCUCUCACGUUUCCCGCCCUUUUCCCUUCACAUUUUCCACCCUUUUCUCCCCUCACGUUUUCUGUUCUUUUCCCCUCACAUUUCCCACUCUUUUCCUCUCACAUUUCCCACCCUUUUCUCCUCACAUUUCCCACUCUUUUCCUCUCACAUUUCCCACUCUUUUCCAGUCACAUUUUCCACUCUUUUCUCCCCUCACAUUUUCUACUCUUUUCACCUCACAUUUCCACCCCUUUCCCUUCACAUUUCCUGCUUUUUUCUCCCCUCAUAAUUCCCAUCUUGUUUCCCCUCACCUUUUCCUCCUUUCUCCUCUCACGUUUCCUGCUCUUUUCUCCCCUCACAUUUUCCUUUUCCCUUACAUUUUCUACCCUUUUCCUUCCGUGUUUCCCGCUCUUUUCUCCCCUCAUGAUUCCCGUCCUGUUUCUCCUCACUUUUUCCACCUUUUUCCCCUCACGUUCUUUGCUGCUUUCACUUCAUGUUUCCACCCUUUUCCCCUCACAUUUCCCGCUCUUUUCACCUCACAUUUCCACCCUUUUCCCUUCACAUUUUCCACCCUUUUCCCCCCUCAUAUUUCCACCCUUUUCCCCUCACAUUUCCCACUCUUUUCCCUUCACAUUUUCCACUCCUUUCCACUCACAUUUCCCACUCUUUUCCCGUCACAUUUCUCACCCUUUUCCCCUCACAUUUUUCACUCUUUUCCCCUCAUAUUUGCUGCCCUUUUUACCUCACGUUUCCCACCUUUUUCUCCCCUCACGUUUUCUGCUCUUUUCCCGUCAUGUUUUCUACUCUUUUCACCUCACGUUUCCCACCCUUUUCCCUUCACAUUUUCCACACUUUUCCCCUCACAUUUCCCACCCUUUUCCCCUCACAUUUCCCACCCUUUUUCCCUCACACAUUUCACUCUUUUCCCCUCAUAUUUUCUGCUCUUUUCCCGUCAUGUUUUCUACUCUUUUC
ensembl:lncRNA